rnacentral:tRNA from 1 species
CGGGUGUAGUUCAGUGGUAGAACGUAAGCUUCCCAAGCUUAAAAUGUGGGUUCGAUUCCCAUCACCC